GUUCAAAAGUGUCCCCCUAGUCUUUUCCUCCCCAGUGGUUAAUACUGAAUUGGAAGAUGGUGUCUGAAGAAUUUCAGAUGAUGUAAAUGCAGUACGAAGAGGUGGGGGGGGCACACUGUGUGAUGGUUUCUGAGUCUUUAAAACCUACUUGCUAUUAUCCCUGAGGGAAGAUGGUAUGAAGUUCAUCAGUAUCAACUACUUCCUAAAAUGUUUUGAGUUAAAAAAGUUGUUUUUUUUUUAACCCAAACUACAAAUCAUUAGUGGGAUUUUGGGUCAAAUGUUUAUUUUAUUCUCUUCUAGUUGACAUCAUUUUAAGAGUAAAAAUUGAAACUACAAUAAGUGCUUGAGGAGUGGGAUUUUUAUGUGUAAAACACUUAAAAUUUAAUUUAGAGCUAAUAUCAUUGUUUUGUUUUAAUCUGUUGUUAGAAGUAUUUCUAGAAUGUAUCUAUCUACGUUCUUCCAAUGUGAUUAUAGUAUUCUAAAGAUAAUUGAGCAUUUUAAGAGGAUCUUGUGAUUUCUGGAGUUAUUGCACAGUUUCUGAAGACAAGAAAAGUGUGUAUGAUUAGACCAUUUCCAAAUUCUAGGGAAUGACUUGGAUUUUUCCUUCUGGGGUGGGAGAAGUAGAUGCUUUAUCCCUGAUAUGAAUAAGUUUAUUCUAAUGAUGAACUUUCACCUUUCUCUAAGAGGUAGCAUGUCAAAAAUUGGUUGAGGUUCUAAUUACUUCAUUUCUAGUCAAUUAAAGCUCUGGUAUCUAGAAUGUAACUUCGCAGAGGGUCUUAGAAGGAAAGUUCAUUUUUCUGUUUGGGUUUUUAAUGAUUUAUUUAUUAUAACUUCCCCCCCCAACAAAUAGAAAUAAAGUGCUCUGCAGGAUAAUUCUAAUUUGCAUAAAACUUUAUGUGGAUAGCACUGGGUCUACAUUUGCACACAUACAAUGUACAUAUGUUCAUGUACACAUGCACAAACAUGUAUAUAUAUAAUAUUAUCAUACAGUACCCAUUGUUCUGUCUGCCUUUUUUCUUAUCAAUGUAUUUUGAAGGUCUCUUCAGGUCUCUAAUUCUUCUUAAUGGCUGCAUAAUAUUUCACAGUAUUAAUGUAUCAUAAUUUCUUUAACUUAUCUCCUAAUGAUGGACAUUAAGUUGUCUCCAAAUUUAACUCCAAUUGAUAUUGCAUCAAAACGAUCAUUGAAUGUAGUCAUCUUUGAAUCAUAGGGGAGAAUUUAUUUAGAAUAGUUUCCUAGAAGAAUUUCUGGAUUAAAAGGCCGAAUUUAACAGUUUUCUAUGUACUGCCAACCUAAGGCAUUAGUCUAUGUGUCUACCUGCUGGUCAAUAAUGUAGUUCCUGGAGACAGUGGAUCUUAAAAGAGAUGAAUAAUUAAAUCUGCAAGUGUUUCACAUACAUCUUCAUAGCAUUCCGAAAGACCUCCUUCACUAGCUCCCAUAACCAUGCCAGUCACUCUCUUCAUUUGCAGAGGAAGAAGGCACUUGCUAUCUACUUUCUAUCCUUCUUGGCACUUACCCUGUCUUAUCAUAUUUUUACGCUAAUAACUUUAACUGCCUUUGCAAAGUCAUUUCUUUGAGGUGUCCUGAAAAGAACAGGAUCUCAAGGGGAGUGGUGACAGGCAAAGGUCCCACCAGGCUUAAACUCAGGUGACAACAGAAUUUUUCAUUGGUGGGGGUUCUCUGGACCAUGGGAAAGACAUGCAGCCAGCAUUGGGAAUGGACACGAGCAGGGCUGGAGCACAUAAAGUGGGCCCGAGAAGGAGGCACUGGCUUUAUGUGUGCUACAGGAAACAGAGAAGAACCUGAGGGACAGGGUGUUACUUUGAAAUAUGUGAGUUUGGAAAAUGAUAUUGAGGAAAUAAACAGGCUGAAGAGAAGUCACCAGAAAAAGAAUGCCAGGAGACAAAGUAAGCCACAACGCCAGGGGACAAGACAAUGGUAAUUCCAUAAUUAGGUAGGAUCUGAGAUCAAUAUGGUCUGUUUGCUUUGAGUUCACAUCUCCUUCAUUCAAAUGCUGCUCUCUGGUGUUACUUCCUGCCAGGCUUUUCAAUACUUUAUCUGAUGUGUGCAGUGCAGUGUGUGUGUGUGCACGUGUGUGUAUGUAUGCGUUUUCCUAGAGGGUUAUUUUAAUGCAUGAUUCGUGAGUAAGUUUGGAUUCUCAAAGCAUGGCAAUGCCAAAACAGAGACAAGAAGUUGCUUAUUGCCAACUCUGAGGUGCAAUGGCAGCUCUUCAACAGGGACCAGUUUUCCUGAUUCCAAAGAAGCGUAUAAAUGUAGCAUCUUGCAACUUAUGCAGCAAAACAGGUUACCCAGUCUAUGGCAUUCUGUUCUAGCGUACAAAAGGGACUAAGACACGCUCAUUUCUGCUUGUUACUAUGGCGUGGCUCCUACGAAGAAUGCCAAAACCUACAGGAAAAUUGUGCUUUGGAUGGACCUCUUACUUCUUGGCAGAGAUCCUUUCACCAAGAGCAGAGACAGCCGUUGCCAAAUCUAAACUCACUGGGCCUACGCUAUUUCAGGUGAAAACACUGCAUUUGUUUCAGGCACAAACACGUACAGGUGACUCGUCAUGUUCUGAGAUGGAACAUAAUGACACAAGAGUACCAGGCACAAAACCAUGCUCUCAGGCCACUCAGAAGGCACUUUAAACGAUGAAAACCAAACAGAAGCUGAGAGACCAACCCCCCACCCCAUCAUACUCAGCAAGUGGAGCAGAGUCACAGAACACACACACCUGGGUGGAACAGAUGGUGCCCCAGUGCUAUUGUUAUUUUACAGUCUGGCUGAAUGGCAAACUGAACUGUCAAGGACAAUAUGUAGACUAUUGCAGUUAAACAGGGGAUUGCAUCUCCCAAGAAAGGAUUCCACCAUCUCGGUGGAGUCAAGUAUAGCUCCCCUUCACAGGGGAAGCGAGGACAGCUGAGAUUUUCCAGGAGAGUGAUUCAGGUUAUAUAAUGACUUUUAAUGAAUUAUUUCCAGGGCAUUGUCUGCAGCGUCAUAUUGCUUGAGCUUUCUGUUAGCAGUUUCCUGGAAAAGAACUUCUGCUUGUCUGGGUCUUGAGUUUCUGUUGCUUACAGCAGCCAGACUUGCCAUCUGCACACAUACAGAACAUGAUUUUUAAUUCUGACAUUUCCAAAAUAUGACUGCUUUGCAAGAUUAUUUGGAUAAAAUGUGUCUGACGGCAAAGCACACAGCCUGUGUGUGAGAACUUGGGAGCAAAACUGACGAGAGGCUCUUGGCAGGUUGUAUUAAUUCUUAACAUGCAAAGAUGGCCGCAUGUUGGAACCUAAUACUGUAGCAAGGCUGAAAUCUAUUAUUAUUUCAGAGUAUUAGCAUUGUUUGGUGUAGAAUAACUUAAGCGUAAUGAUACAUUGAGAAAUCAGUAUGACACGAGAGCCAGUGUGCAUUUUCUUAAAGAUGAACUGGCUGAUGGUUUUAGCAAUGUUUUAACAGAAGGAAUAAGCAAAUUUCAAAAGUAAAUGAAUCAGAAGCUGAUAAGCAAGUAAUACAUUUGUAGCACAUAAAUGACUUUGUUUGAGUUUGCGAUUAUCACCACAUUGCUCUAGAAAUAUAUAUGAUAGCCUUUGACUUUGUGUCCCAAUUAUUCCACGUCUGCUAGUUGUAUGCAUUUUAUAUAUUUGUCACUCAUCAGAAAGGAACUCAAAUUUUCUUUUCUCAAAAAACAUUCAAUUUAGUGCUGUUGGACAAGAUGGUAUGAAAAGUUGAAAGUGGAGUGAAAAAAGGUUGAAUUGUAAUUUUAGUGACCUAAAGAGAAAAUAAUAACCUCCUCUAAGAUUCCUUACCCUUUUUUCUCAAAGUGGAAGUAACUUAAGUUUUUGGUGCUAAUUCUAAGAAAAUUAAAUUCUUGUUACAAGUAAUCUGAAUAGUGCAGAAGUAUAAAGUGAAAGGUGAAGGUACUCUGGUAAUCCCACCCUGCAGAGAUUACAGCUGUUAACAGUGUGAUACAUGUAUUUCUUGAUUUCUAAAUGCAUAGGUAUAAGUAAAUACGUAUAAAUAAAAUAAUUGAGGUUUGGAAUCAUAA